rnacentral:rRNA from 2 species
GAUUAUUGGGCGUAAGCGCGCGCAGGCGGUCCUUUAAGUCUGAUGUGAAAGCCCACGGCUCAACCGUGGAGGGUCAUUGGAAACUGGGGGACUUGAGUGCAGAAGAGGAAAGCGGAAUUCCACGUGUAGCGGUGAAAUGCGUAGAGAUGUGGAGGAACACCAGUGGCGAAGGCGGCUUUCUGGUCUGUAACUGACGCUGAGGCGCGAAAGCGUGGGGAGCAAACAGGAUUAGAUACCCUGGUAGUCCACGCCGUAAACGAUGAGUGCUAAGUGUUAGAGGGUUUCCGCCCUUUAGUGCUGCAGCUAACGCAUUAAGCACUCCGCCUGGGGAGUACGGCCGCAAGGCUGAAACUCAAAGGAAUUGACGGGGGCCCGCACACGCGGUGGAGCAUGUGGUUUAAUUCUAAGCAACGCGAAGAACCUUACCAGGUCUUGACAUCCUCUGACACUCCUAGAGAUAGGACCUUCCCCU